rnacentral:rRNA from 1 species
AGCUGGAGCCCGAACUAUGUGUGUAGUUUUAUCAGGUAAAGCGAAUGAUUAGAGGUAUUGGGGUUGAAAUGACCUCAACCUAUUCUCAAACUUUAAAUGGGUAAGAAGUGUAGCUUGCUUAAGUGAAGUUGCACUGGAGGGGGUGGGCAACCUCCCUCUCUCCUAGAAUACAGGGGCUCUUAGUGGGCCAUUUUUGGUAAGCAGAACUGGCGAUGCGGGAUGAACCGAACGCUGGGUUAAGGUGCCCAAGUCAACGCUCAUGAGAUCCCAUGAAAGGUGUUGGUUGAUACAGACAGCAGGACGGUGGCCAUGGAAGUCGGAAUCCGCUAAGGAGUGUGUAACAACUCACCUGCCGAAUCAACUAGCCCUGAAAAUGGAUGGCGCUCAAGCGUUGCACCUAUCCCCGGCCACCGUGUGGAGAUGGCCAGUGCUGGUGACACGGUGUGUAGGAGGGCGCAGGGCUGUGUGUUGGUAUGCUGUGCAGGCUGGUGCGUGAGCCCAGCUGAAGCUGGCCCUGGUGCAGAUCUUGGUGGUAGUAGCAAUUAUUCAAAUGAGAACUUUGAAGGCCGAAGUGGAGAAGGGUUCCACGUGAACAGCAUUUGGACGUGGGUGAGUCGGUCCUAAGAGAUGGGCGAAAGCCUGGUUAGCAAGGGUGCAGAUGUGCUGUCGCUCUCAACAGGCGGCAGUAUAUCCGGUUGGUUCUUCACGGGGCCACAGUGGCACCAGCUCUCGAAAGGGUAUCAGGUUAACAUUCCUGAACCAGACACUUGGAUGCUGCACGCGCGGCCUGCCUUCACGGGUGGGCAGCGUGUGUGGGGCACGGCAACGUAUAUGUGUGUGUAUGCUCGGCGACGCUUGCGAUAGCCCUGGGAAGAGUUGUCUUUUCUUCUUAACCGUACCAACCGUGUGCACAGCCCUGGAAACAGUUUACCUUGAGAGAGGGCUG